CCCUGACAGGAGGAGUUGUCAUUAGCUGUGAGAUGGUCCCUGGCAGAUCCUGACAUGUGGCCUCCCAGCUCGGCCCUGACCUCCUCAGCACCCACUCAGCAGCCUCCAGACUGCACCGCAGUAAGGCGGUCACCUCUGGAUCUCACCACACUAAGGAGGAGGGUGUCGCCUCUGAACAUUUGGGUGAUCAAAGGAGUUUUCAGAGACAGCACAUUCUAACCUGGCUGAGAGUUGUAUGCCCCGGGACAUGGGAGCUAACAUUGGAAUGCAGUCCAUCCUCCUUUCCCCGAGAACUGCCUACCCUCAUGGAAAGAAAAACAAUCUAGUCAUGGAGGUGUCCGCCCUUUGCAACCCCCAGCCCACAUUGCCUGUAACCUGUAACCAUUAUACCUUGCCUACUUUCCUAUGCCUGGAAUUCUUAAUUUCCCACAUAUCCUUUGUCCUUCUACACAAUAUGAGACGCUGGCUUAUGGGGAGGGGCAGAGCAGAUUUUUGUGGAUGACCUGCUGCUCUCUCAUACUGCCGGCAUUAUUGGAAUAAAGGCUCAUAUAUG